rnacentral:rRNA from 1 species
CAGCAGCCGCGGUAAUACGAAGGGUGCAAGCGUUACUCGGAAUUACUGGGCGUAAAGCGUGCGUAGGUGGUGGUUUAAGUCCGUUGUGAAAGCCCUGGGCUCAACCUGGGAAUUGCAGUGGAUACUGGGUCACUAGAGUGUGGUAGAGGAUAGUGGAAUUUCCGGUGUAGCAGUGAAAUGCGUAGAGAUCGGAAGGAACAUCUGUGGCAAAGGCGACUAUCUGGGCCAACACUGACACUGAGGCACGAAAGCGUGGGGAGCAAACAGGAUUAGAGACCACUGUAGUCCCUGUCUCUUAUAC